GUAUCUUUCUCGGUCUUUGGGUUAAGAUUAAAUGUAAUAUCUAUUCUUAUCAGUUUAAUAUAUGAUACGUGAGUUCAUGGUUCACAUGAUAUUAAAUUAAUUUUUUUAAGAGGGGAGUCUAUUGCAGUGGCUCGCUGCCUGGGGCUCUCGUGCAUCGCCUUUGUGUUUGUCCGACCGCAUUGGCCUGGCGCACCCUCC